AAGCAGCAAAUCUGUUGCAUCUCUUUCGACACUGACUCAUCUUCCUGAUCCUAGGGGGAGUGCCAGGGAAGCAGGUACAGAGUGAUACCAAGCGCCUGAAACCUCUUUCAGGAUACAUCCAGGCUUGCAUUGUGCACCGCUCUAAGGUCUUUGUUUUCCUACUCAAGCUGUAUUCGAAGGUAACUUUUAAAAUUAACAAACAUUGAUUCCCUAUGGCAUGGAAGGCAUUUGGAUACAAAGCUGAAAAACAGUCUCUGCCUACCAAGAGCUUAUGGCCUGCCUACACAACUUAAACAUGUACCUAGCUAUUCUUAUCUGCUGAGUUUAGAGUGAAGAUCACAGUUUACCCACAGCACAGACACCAUGAACUGAACCGGUGAGAGGGAAAGGACUCCUUCCCCGCUCCCUCUUCUAUCCUGGCUCAGAGAAAUGGGCCUAGAAGUGUUUGUUGAUGUUUGUUGCUUGUUUGUCCUCCUCGGUUUCAGGUGUCCAAGGUGGAGUUGGAGCCAUGAAGAGCCAAGAUGACAGGUGGGAUGUGCAGCCAGCCAACCUGGCAUAGAAGCCCUGAGAAGCCAGGUGCCAGGGCCUUGAGCUUGAAAGAGAUUUUGGACUUAGAAUUGGGACUGUACUUUAUAGAAACCUAUCUACACUAUGGACCUAAUCCCCUUCCUCCCCAGAAACUGAGGUGUUGCUGGUGGGGUUAGAAUUAUGCCUCCCACAUGAUGGGGGAGUAAGUUUGUAUAUUUGUGAUUAAACUUUCUGAAGUAAAAAGCUCUGUGUAAAAGCUAA